AACGAACGCGGGAGGCAUGCCUAACACAUGCAAGUCGAACGAGACCUUCGGGUCUAGUGGCGCACGGGUGCGUAACGCGUGGGAACCUGCCCUUAGGUUCGGAAUAACUCCCCGAAAGGGGUGCUAAUACCGGAUAAUGUCUUCGGACCAAAGAUUUAUCGCCUUUGGAUGGGCCCGCGUUGGAUUAGCUAGUUGGUAGGGUAAAAGCCUACCAAGGCGACGAUCCAUAGCUGGUCUGAGAGGAUGAUCAGCCACACUGGGACUGAGACACGGCCCAGACUCCUACGGGAGGCAGCAGUGGGGAAUAUUGGACAAUGGGCGAAAGCCUGAUCCAGCAAUGCCGCGUGAGUGAUGAAGGCCUUAGGGUUGUAAAGCUCUUUUACCCGGGAUGAUAAUGACAGUACCGGGAGAAUAAGCUCCGGCUAACUCCGUGC
rnacentral:rRNA from 1 species